GCUGGGCGCGGUGGCUCACGCCUGUAAUCCCAGCGCUUUGGGAGGCUGAGGUGGGUGGAUCACCUGAGGUCAGGAGUUCAAGACCAGCCUGACCAACAUGGUGAAACUCCACCUUUA
rnacentral:SRP_RNA from 1 species